AGAACUGAGAAUCUGAAGAGUCGAAUGACGGGGUAACGCCCUGAAAGGCUCGCCUAAGGCUCCGAAGUGCGUUCACUAUUGUAUGAUAGUGAGGGUUCUAAGCUCGGUGAAGAACUGCUGAAAGGUAUCCUAACGAGAAAGACGAGGAAAUCUCUCUGGAGGCAGAGGGUAUACCUGAUAGGUAUGGGUUCUAUAAA
rnacentral:ncRNA from 1 species